AUUCUUGUAGCUCAAUUGGAUAGAGCAUCUGACUACGGAUCAGAAGGUUGGGAGUUCGAAUCUCUUCAGGAAUG
rnacentral:tRNA from 1 species